rnacentral:lncRNA from 1 species
AUAGAACAUGAAAGAUAAAAUAAAGCUAAAGAAAAUAAAAUAAAAGAGAACAAAAAAUUAAAAUCAAAAUUUACUAAAAUAAAGGAAUUAAAUCCAUAUCUGACCAAAUGUCCAAAUAGCCUUAGUCAAUCCUAUUUAUACUUUGUCCAAUCAUCUUGAAACUUUUUAGAAUAUUUUUAAUGAUACAUCUUAUAUAAAUAACUAUCUUAAGUCUUUU